rnacentral:rRNA from 1 species
AUACUCCUACGGGAGGCAGCAGCAGGGAAUAUUGCCACCAUAGGCGAAAGCCUGAUGCAGCGACGCCGCGUGAGUGAAGAAGGCCUUCGGGUCGUAAAGCUCUUUUGUAGGGGAAGAGGAAGGACGGUACCCUAAGAAGAAGCGUCGGCUAACUACGUGCCAGCCAGCCGCGGUAAGACGUAGGACGCGAGCGUUAUCCGGAAUUACUGGGCGUAAAGGGCCAGCAGGCGGCUUGGUAAGUUGUGCGUGAAAGCCUCGUGCUCAACGCGAGGAAGCCGGACAAUACUGUCAAGCUAGAGGGCAUCAGAGGGGAGUGGAAUUCCCGGAGUAGCGGUAAAAUGCGCAGAUAUCGGGAGGAACACCGAUGGCGAAGGCAGCUCCCUGGGAUGCACCUGACGCUAAGAGGCGAAAGCUAGGGGAGCGAACAGGAUUAGAGACCCUGGUAGUCCUAGCUGUAAACGCUGGGUGCUAGGUGUGGGACGUAGAAGUUCCGUGCCGGAGCAAACGCGAUAAGCACCCCGCCUGGGAAUUACGGUCGCAAGGCUAAAACUCAAACGAAUUGACGGGGCCCCGCACAAGCAGCGGAGCGUGUGGUUCAAUUCGAUGCUACACGAAGAACCUUACCUGGGUUUGACAUGUACGUGGUACGAAGGCGAAAGCCUAAGGACCCUUCGGGGAGCGUACACAGGUGCUGCAUGGCUGUCGUCAGCUCGUGCCGUGAGGUGUCGGGUUAAGUCCCGUAACGAGCGCAACCAUUGCCCUUAGUUACAAGUGUCUAAGGGGACUGCCGGCGGGAAGCCGGAGGAAGGUGGGGAUGACGUCAAGUCAGCAUGGCCCUUAUGUCCAGGGCUACACACACGCUACAAUGGUCAGUACAAAGGGUAGCGAAGUCGCGAGGCGGAGCGAAUCUCAACAAAGCUGAUCGUAGUUCGGAUUGCAGGCUGCAACCCGCAUGCAUGAAGCUGGAGUUGCUAGUAACCGCGCGUCAGCCAUAGUGCGGUGAAUACGUACCCGGGGCUUGUACACACCGCCCGUCACGUCAUGGGAGUCGGUAACGCCUGAAGCCGGUAGUCUGGCCCGCAAGGGGGGACGCUGUCGAAGGCGGGACU